GUGCGCGUGCGCGCUCCUGCGUGCACUCACACAGAUAGACACUGAUUAUCUUCUUUUGCUCUCUACCUUAUGAAACAGGGUUUCUCACUGAACCUGGAACAGUCAGACUGUCUGUCCAUGAAGGCUCCUGGGCUUCUUCCAUCUUUACCUGCCAGCCCUAGAGACAUGCACUGCCAUGCCCAGUUUUUUCUUUUUGAAGUGAGGCAUUUGAGACAGGGGCUCUAUGUAGCCCUGGCUGUCCUAGAACUCUCUGAGUAGACCAGGCUAGUCUCAAACUCAGGGAAAUCUGCCUGUCCCUGCCUCUUGAGUGUGGGGAUCAAAGAUGUGUGUCACCACACUUGGCCAUGCCAUUUUUUUUUUUUUUUUUAAUAAAACGUAAACACUAGAGAUCCACACUCAAUCCUCAUGCUUGUGCAGCAGGCAUGUUACCUACCAAAUUGUCUCCCCAACCUUGUAUGUAUUUAUAUAGGUUUGCCUUUUCAGUUAAACCUUUCAUUUAGGGUGACACUGAAUUCCUAGCCACCAUUUUUCUGCUGGUUUGGGACACUGCUUAGUUGUAGUUUAAGUCCUUAUGAGUGUAUUUAUUAGCCCAAUUUUCUGUUAUUAUUCAUGGAAUACCAGAAGCUGGAUACUUUUUCAAGAGUAAAGCUUUAUUUAGCUUACAGUUUUAGAGACAGAAAGUCCAAACAACCAUGGUGCCAGUUCUGACAAGUUCCCUCUAUGGUUGUGUCACCUCCUGAUAGAUGAUAUAAAGGUAGGCUAGUGUGAGAGAAGAGAUGACACAGUAAGAUAGGAUGCCGGAGAGUGGGCAGGUCUGGCUUUGGUCUUUUCUUUUCCUUCUGGAACUAAUUAACCAGGGUCCCAGAGAAGUACUUAAUUCCCUCUCAGGAAAAGGACCCCAGCUCCUCCUAAUGACUUCUCAUAGGCUCCGCCUCUUAAAGGUUCCUUGCACAUUGCCCCACUGGGGACCAAAGUAAAUUAACUGCUGGUUCUUUAUAGUUUUUGUACUUAUUAUGGUCCCCUCCUCAAUUUUCAAAGUGAUUAUUGCAGUGUCAAGGGAGAAGGUUGGUUUUGCUCACUGAUCGUGAAUGAGACAAGCUGACUUUUACUGGUUUUGCUCGUAACUUGAUGCCGGUGCUUCUUUUUGGUGGGGAUAAUAGCAUGUGCAGAAUUUGGCAAUUCUAUCUGUCCCCUGUUCCCACUCCUGAUGUUGGAGUACCUCGUUCUUUUGGCCUGAACCUCAGAGACCCAGCUGAACAAAAACUUGCCUUGAAGAAAUGUGCUAGGGUCGGGCUGUGGUGGCUCAUGACUUUGAUUCCAGCAUUUGGGAGGCAGAGGCAUGUGAACUCUGAGUUUGAGGCCAGCCUGGUCACUGAAUUCUAUAGAGUUCCUGGACAGUUAGGGCUACACAGAAGAACACAGAAACAAAAACAACAAAAC
rnacentral:lncRNA from 1 species